rnacentral:rRNA from 1 species
GGGAAGGUUCGUCCGCCCUGGGUUAGUCGGGACCUAAGCUGAGGCCGAAAGGCGUAGGUGAUGGACAACAGGUUGAUAUUCCUGUACUACCGAUAACCGUUUGAGAGAAGGGAUGACACAGUAGGAUAAGCUAAGCACACUGUUGGUUAUGUGUGCCCAAGCAUUGAGGCAGUCAAAGUAGGCAAAUCCGCUUUGAUAAUGCUGGGAUGUGAUGGGGAGCGAAAUUUAGUAGCGAAGUAGCUGAUUUCACACUGUCAAGAAAAGUCUCUAUCGAGGUUAAAGGUACCCGUACCGCAAACCGACACAGGUGGGUGAGGAGAGUAUCCUAAGGCCAGCGAGAGAACUGUUGUUAAGGAACUCGGCAAAAUGACCCCGUAACUUAGG